CCCAAGGAACUCCUUCUCCAGAGAUGAGUCCCCGCUACCUUGGAGGAGAGAACAAGAGGGCAAGCUGUAGAUGGUGACCUUCUGUCUACACAUAAUACAGAUGAAGACAGCUCAGCUUCGUUAUCUAAGUGCUUGGGGAGCAGUGCAAAAGGGAUCAGGUCAUCCUAGGAAUAGCCAGCCUCUAAAAUAAGAAGGGAACAGAGUCUAUAACUCUUCUAAGAAGAGGAAGCAAAUCAAUCAGUCUGGAAUUCAAAGCCUUCUCCAGCAGAGUCAAGAGACCAAUAAAGAAAGGGAGUCCCUCUGCCUGUGGCACUGUCCACAUUCACAGGAUCCCACUUGUUCCUACAGAGUAAAAUGAUGCUAGAAAUAC